UACGUAGGGGGCAAGCGUUGUCCGGAUUUAUUGGGCGUAAAGAGCGUGUAGGCGGCCUGGUAGGUCAGCUGUGAAAACUCGAGGCUCAACCUCGAGACGCCGGUUGAAACCAUCAGGCUAGAGUCCGGAAGAGGAGAGUGGAAUUCCCGGGUGUAGCGGUGAAAUGCGCAGAUAUCGGGAAGAACACCCGUGGCUAAGGCGGCUCUCUAGUACGGUACUGACGCUGAGACGCGAAAGCGUGGGGAGCGAACAGG
rnacentral:rRNA from 1 species